AUCCCUGUUAGCCACUCUGAUGGUGAUGCUUUGUUCUUAUCAGUUUAAUAUCUGAUACGUCCUCUAUCUGAGGACAAUAUAUUAAAUGGAUUUUUGGAACUAGGAGAUGGAAUAGGAGCUUGCUCCGUCCACUCCGCGCAUCGACCUGGUAUUGCAGUACUUCCUGGAGCGGUGCACUCCCA